rnacentral:rRNA from 1 species
UUGAACGCUGGCGGCAGGCCUAACACAUGCAAGUCGAGCGGAUGAAGGGAGCUUGCUCCUGGAUUCAGCGGCGGACGGGUGAGUAAUGCCUAGGAAUCUGCCUGGUAGUGGGGGAUAACGUCCGGAAACGGGCGCUAAUACCGCAUACGUCCUGAGGGAGAAAGUGGGGGAUCUUCGGACCUCACGCUAUCAGAUGAGCCUAGGUCGGAUUAGCUAGUUGGUGGGGUAAAGGCCUACCAAGGCGACGAUCCGUAACUGGUCUGAGAGGAUGAUCAGUCACACUGGAACUGAGACACGGUCCAGACUCCUACGGGUGGCAGCAGUGGGGAAUAUUGGACAAUGGGCGAAAGCCUGAUCCAGCCAUGCCGCGUGUGUGAAGAAGGUCUUCGGAUUGUAAAGCACUUUAAGUUGGGAGGAAGGGCAGUAAGUUAAUACCUUGCUGUUUUGACGUUACCAACAGAAUAAGCACCGGCUAACUUCGUG